CCUACGGGAGGCUGCAGUGGGGAAUAUUGGACAAUGGGGGCAACCCUGAUCCAGCCAUGCCGCGUGUGUGAAGAAGGCCCUCGGGUUGUAAAGCACUUUCAGUGAGGAAGAACGCCUGGUGGUUAAUACCCAUCAGGAAAGACAUCACUCACAGAAGAAGCACCGGCUAACUCCGUGCCAGCAGCCGCGGUAAUACGGAGGGUGCGAGCGUUAAUCGGAAUUACUGGGCGUAAAGCGCGCGUAGGUGGCUUGAUAAGCCGGUUGUGAAAGCCCCGGGCUCAACCUGGGAACGGCAUCCGGAACUGUCAAGCUAGAGUGCAGGAGAGGAAGGUAGAAUUCCCGGUGUAGCGGUGAAAUGCGUAGAGAUCGGGGGGAAUACCAGUGGCGAAGGCGGCCUUCUGGACUGACACUGACACUGAGGUGCGAAAGCGUGGGUAGCAAACAGGAUUAGAUACCCUAGUAGUC
rnacentral:rRNA from 1 species